rnacentral:ncRNA from 1 species
GGAUGAACCUCCGGUGUCGUCUUACAGGAGGGGGCAUCAAACCACCCAAAGGUGCUUUGGUUAAGAGCCUUGGUACUGAGCGUUUGGGAAACGGGUCCGCUGAGAGCAGGCUCAGGU